AUUGAACGCUGGCGGCAGGCCUAACACAUGCAAGUCGAGCGAGCGGCGGACGGGUGAGUAAUGUCUGGGAAACUGCCUGAUGGAGGGGGAUAACUACUGGAAACGGUAGCUAAUACCGCAUACCAUCAGAUGUGCCCAGAUGGGAUUAGCUAGUAGGUGGGGUAACGCCUCACCUAGGCGCCGAUCCCUAGCUGGUCUGAGAGGAUGACCAGGCAACCUGGAACUGAGACACGUUCCAGCCUCCGACGGUAGGCAGAAGUGGGGAAUAUUGCAGAAUGGGCGCAAGCCGGAUGCAGCCAUGCCGCGGGUGUGAAGAAGGACUUCGGUUUGUAAAGCACUUUCAGCGGGGAGGCGUUACCCGCAGAAGAAGCACCGGCUAACUCCGUGCCAGCAGCCGCGGUAAUUC
rnacentral:rRNA from 1 species